UAUUUAUCAAUUGCAUUUUACUCAUAUUUUUAUAAAUAAUAUCAGCUCAAAAUCACUGAGUAGAAUUUGAUAAUAUUUUAUCAGUAAAGUCAACAAUGUCGAAAAAUUAAUAAAUUCUACUCAAUGGGAAUUCUGUAGUUUUAAACACCGUACACUUCCGCCGAAGGCAUUUGCGCCACACGGACGUCGAUGUCUGCCACAACCGCCAUCAACUGACAUCUGCUCAAGGUGUAUAAAGAAUCUAUCAACACUUAAAGACCGCAGGUAUGUAUUGCACUUACUAAAUACAUGCUGUUAUACUACACUACAGAACAAUUUAACAUACAGCAUAUUGUGUAAAGGUUCAUUCACUGUUUUGCAACACAAUGUUGAUAACUUCUAUAAAAAAUCAUCUUUUUAUCAACUUUUGCUGGUUAAGCAAAUUUAAUACAGUUUAACCUGAAGUUCCAACUUGAAUUUCAAAUGAAAGCAGCAUAAAAUAUAGAGAAUAUUUUUCAUAGAUAUGCAGUAUAUCUAUAAUACCAUAUACCCAUAUAUUUAUUAGCACUAUUAUUGAAGUAGGUUACUCUUUAUACAGUUAUACUGUAUACAAGUUAAUAUAGUACCUUUAUUUUCUUAUUACUUUAGGUUUUUGCCGAUGGGAUGGCAGUGUAAGAUCUGCAGGUCUUUGUCUGCUACAAAAGGGAACCUACUAAAGCAUUACAGAUUAGAGCACGCAACAUUUGGUCGCGGGCAAUCUCAGCCAUGUCUCUAUGGUAGUUGCCCUUGCACAUUCAAAACGCAGAGUGCGCUUCGCACACAUUUGUCCAGGUACCAUGCCGCUAAGGAAAGUCUACAGCCAAAUAUCUCCACUUUCAAGUGUUUAGUUUGUGAUGCUAGUUGUUCUACUGAGAAGGACUUCUUUCAGCAUAUUGGAAAUCAUCUGAAAGGCCAUGAAACUGUCUUUUGUGUAUUUGAAGGGUGCAGUUUUCGGACAAAUAUUUACAAUACAUUUCUAAAACACAAAAGCAGAAGACACCAACCCUAUUCUUUGAGUGAUUUUAAGCAAGCUGUGUAUGAAAGACACUAUAAUCAGACGGCUGACCUCUCUGAUUUACCAGAGGCCAGUGCUGAUGAGGGAACUAUUCUAGAUGGUGAUCCCGAAUGUGCAUCAUACCUAGUUCUGAAAAGAAUUGCCUUGCUUCUGCUGAAGCUAGAAAGUAUAUGCAAUGCAUCUGUGAGGUGCAUUGAUGUCUUGGUUGAAGACCUCCACUUCAUUUCAUCUUCAGCAUCUGUUGCCGUUGUUAGAAAUACACUUGAAUCAACAUUGAGAUUAAAUGAAUGCACUGUAGACCAGGCAUUCAUAUGUGACUUGGCAGAACAACUGUGUAACUUCCAUCCCAUUAGUACAGCACUAGGGGCAAGUGGUCCUCUUAGUACAGCUUUUAAGCGAAGAAGGUAUUUUAAAGAGCAUUUCCAGUGUGUUGACCCUGUUGAAUAUAUUCUUGAUUUUCAAAAGAACAAGACCUUUCAGUAUGUGCCCAUUCUCAAAACUCUGCAGGAAAUCGUAAAGAAUAAAGACGUUGCAGACGGAAUUAUAUCCAGGUGUUCAAACAGCACUGGAUAUAUUAAGUCAAUUUUUGAUGGCAAAUUUUACAGGCAAAAUGAUUUUUAUGCUGGAGAAGAAAUACGACUCUCAAUAAUCCUUUAUGUAGAUGAUUUUGAGGUGUGUAACCCUCUAGGGACCUCUAAGGAAAAAAACAUAAAAUUACAGCCAUUUAUUGGAUUUUGGCAAAUUUGCCAAUUGAAUUGCAAUCUGAAUUAACGUCAAUACACCUAGCUUUACUUUGCAAAGCAGUUGAUGUCAAACAGUUUGAAUACAAAGUAGUUUUGGAACCACUCUUAAAAGAUCUUGUCACUCUAGAAAAAGAAGGAGUUUUCAUUCCCAGUGCUGGAAAAAGUAUUAAAGGGACAGUACACUGUGUUGCAGCUGAUAAUCUCGGGGCACAUUCGAUCAGUGGACUAGUUGAAAAUUUCACAGGGCCAUACACGUGUCGGUUUUGUCUUGGACAUUCUUCCAAGUACCAGACACAUGAAGUACGAGGUGGAGCAUUUCCACCCCAUACAAAGGAGGACCAUAGUUUGCAUGUACAAACUGUUAAAGAAAAUCCCAGUUUAACACAUUUCUUUGGUGUAAAGCGGUCGUGUCCAUUGACCGACAAAUUGACUCACUUUCACUUUGUCUCUGGAUACCCACCAGAUGUACUUCAUGAUGUUUUUGAAGGGAUUGUUCCAAGGGAACUAGCAUUGUGUAUUCAGGUUUUCACUAGAAAGAAAUACUUUAAUUUAACUCAACUUAACGAGUUAAUUAAAUGUUUCCCCUAUAAGGGCUCAGACAAAACCAAUAGCCCUCAGGAAAUCCCUCAAAAUUACACAACUCGCAAAUCUAUAGGGGGAAAUGCUCAUGAAAACUGGGCCCUGAUACGUUUGUUGCCACUCAUUGUUGGUUCACUGAUACCUGAGGGUGAUUGUGCUUGGCAGGUUCUUCUGACUUUAAAAGACAUAGUUGAACUGGUGGUUGCUCCUGUUCAUACACUUGAAACUAUUGCAUACCUUGACUUUAAAAUAUCUGAACAUCGUGACAGACUUUUGGCAGUUUUUCCAGAAGAGACACUGACACCAAAACACCAUUUUUUGGAGCACUACCCCACAUUGAUUGAAGAAUAUGGACCUCUGGUUGGUGUGUGGACAAUGCGCUUCGAAGCAAAACACAGCUUUUUUAAGAAGGUUGCGAGGCACACUAACAAUUUCAGGAAUGUCUUGUUGACCCUUUCGACACGACACCAGAUGAUGAUGGCAUAUCACCUGCAAACAGAUGGUGGAAAGCAGGCACUGUGUGUUACUAAAAUAUCUGAGGUGCCUUUAAAUGUGCUGCAUCCAGACAUACAGGGACUCUUAAGAGAAACAUCACCACUUCUGUCUGUUGUGCUGUUAGCCAAGACUGUCACCUGUUAUGGAACAAGGUACAAUGUUGGGAUGAUCCUGUCCUAUGGCUCUACAGGCGGACUUCCUGAUUUUGCUGAGAUUAUUCAGAUUGCUAUUUUGGACUACUGUGUACACUUCAUUGUAAAGUUACUUGCUGCCUGGUAUGAAGAGCAUCUAAGGUCUUUUCAGUUGGAGGACACUGGGAAAAUGGCACUUUGGGAGCAGCAGAAACUUGGUGAUGUCUACCCCUUGGCUGCGUACAGUGUAGGAGGAAGAUGCUUGGUUACACUCAAACGUCACAUCUGUUGUUCAUUUUAGGCCGGAGAGAUGGAGGAAAAAUUGUGAGUAAUCAUUGAUGACCGAAUUGAGAAGUUGGUCCUUCCAUCAGGAAUCCCACCGACUGUGGAGGAGCUGCAAACUAUUGUGAAAGGGAACUUUGGAAUUUCUGAGGAGUUCAGUCUUCAGUAUUUGGACUCGGAAUUUGAAGAUUACUUCACACUGCAUAAAACUGACCAAAUUAAACACAAAGAUACUGUAAAGGUUGUCUAUGCUGCCCCGAUUAUCUUGCAAUUGCAGCAAGUUGAUGGAAGUUUGGACAUUUCUUUUGGUCAACAGUCAACAGACUGUGACUCCGUAUCUUAUGCAGAGUCAUCUGCAUCAAAUACAGAGUCAUCUGCAUCAAAUACAGAGUCUUCUGCUGGAACAUCUUCUUCAACGGACACCAUUAUCCUGCCUAGACGGAGAAGCACCACUGAACGAUGUCAGCCAUGGCCAAAGCAGUUUCCCAUUCCGCAGUUUGCAUAUGAGACUGAGAUGUGCCUUGAAAGAGCCGAGGAAGAUCACAGAAAGAAUGGAACACUUCUGACUACCUCAAAGGUCAAAGCAGACAUAUUGGAGAAGCUGGCUGAAACUAUAUAUAUGUAUACAGCUUAUCCAUCAAGUGCACAGAUAUGUGAUGUUGCUGAGGCACUUGUCAAGAAAUAUCCUUGUCUGAAGGAACCUGGCUCCUUCUCAGGCUACUAUGGCUGGCAACAAAGCCUGAAAUACAAGAUGGCAAAUUAUCGCACCAAACUCAGAGGCUACGGUGUUCCUGAGGUGAUGUGCAAUGCCUUCAAACGCAAGAGCCCAGGAGACCAAAAAUCUGCAAAGAAUGUGAAAAAGCCUCGAAAGGCAGAAGUAAACUACCUCCCACCUUAUCCAGCAGGAGAGGAUGAGGAAAGUCAAGAACAAGAAAGGAUUCAGUUGCUAACUGAAGUAAGGAAAAGAGACAACAACAAAUUGAUCAAAGAAAAGAUGGCUAAAACUUUUGCACACCGAAGAAAUGAAAUCGUUAACCAAUCACCUGCCAUAGAGGACAUCAAAGCCAGAUGGCCAGCUCUAUUUGAGGCAUCUAAUAUCCAGGAUGAGUUUCACAGAAUUACAACGGUGCACCUGGAAUCGAAGUUCAUGUCCAAGCUGGAUGAAUAUUCUCCCAGGCUUCUGAACCUGUUCCACUCAAAGGGUGGGACCAUGGGAUUAAGGUUGCAGACUAUCCUACUGAAGGCUCCUAGCAAUCCUAACAUCAACAUAACCAGAGACAUUGUCAUCCGGUGUCUGAUGUUGUACCUUGGGGAAUCUGCCGAUCAGCUCUUUAAAGAGUAUGAUGAUGCAGAUGCAGACAGUGUGGCACAGGACCUUGCUGUACAAAGGAUGAAAAUUUACAGCAUCCAGACUAAUCUGUCAGAGGGUACAGAGGACAUCGGAAUCGUGAUAGAUGGUACAAAGGUCCUGACCGCUCUGGGUAACUUUCCAAGAGCUUGUGCCAUGCUUGUUGGUGUGACGUAUGCAGUGAAUCUUUCCUAUCCCAAGGAGCUCAGGUACACUUUCGAAGCCUUUCAGAAACUCUUCCUGGAGCUGGACUGUUCAAAGCUUUCUCCAAAAGUGAACAGCCUCAAGAGCAAGCUACUGGCUUAAGAAAGGGAGCCUAAAUACACUGGUGUGCUCAGUUAUUUUGUGCUGCGUUUAAGUGUUCAAGUUUUGUUAAAAAAUAAUGUUAUCCAUACUCAUCUGAAGGGUGUGAUGUUUUUUGUAGCUUGGUAUUCCAGAAGAAACAAGUAAAUGAUAAUCUGCACUAUAACCAGGACAGUGACAGUUGUGUCUUGAAAACACAGAGUUUCUUGAUGGACUAUGAACACUUUGCCACCAGUUUAGGACAUGGAUGCCAGUGACACAGUCCACUUACUCAGAGGCAAAUCCAGACACUCCUCUUGUUUUUCGUGAUUCUUCUGGUUGUUCUUGCAACAGCAAUCCACAGCUAUAUUAUGAAGAUGGACAAUAAUCUGCUGGGUCUUUACCCGUUUUGUGCCACUGGUAAUUGUGAGCACAAGCUGUAGUGAUCUGACACUGAUCUGAGGAGCCUACCUGUGCAAUUGGCCUGCCCCAAAUAGCAAGUGCCUUUGUUAAAUAUAUUUUUUCAUACUCAUUUGAGGGGCUUGCUGUUGUAAUUCUGUGAUGUACACCAGGAUUUCUUUGUAUUUUGGCAUUUUACAUGAAAAAUGUUCAGAAUAUAUGUGUAAACGAAGUUGCACAAAUAAAUGUUUAACUGCUGUUGUUCUAAGUAUGGUAAUUUGUUAACUGCCCUUCUGUGAAUUCUUGCAAAAAGAACGCAUUAUAUUGAGUAGGUUCUACAUAAAAAAAAUAUGGCAACAAAGUGACAAUCAAUAACAUUAAAUAGAUUUUAAGUCAUGUGGUACCAAUUAUAAGUUAAUUUGAGAAAUUAAUUUAUGUAAAGAUAAAUAACAAUUUAAGUUUAAACAUGUUAA